GUGUCAGCAGCCGCGGUAAUACGUAGGGGGCGAGCGUUACCCGGAUUUACUGGGCGUAAAGCGCGCGCAGGCGGCUCCGUAAGUCGGGCGUGAAAGCUCCGGGCUCAACCCGGAGAGGCCGUCCGAAACUGCGGGGCUUGAGGACGGGAGAGGGGGGUGGAAUUCCCGGUGUAGCGGUGAAAUGCACAGAUAUCGGGAGGAACACCAGUGGGGAAGCCGGCCCCCUGGCCCGUUCCUGACGCUCAGGCGCGAAAGCGUGGGGAGCGAAGGGGAUUAGAUACCCCCGUAGUCCACGCCCUAAACGAUGGGUGCUAGGUGUGGGGGGUGUAAAAGCCCUCCGUGCCGUAGCCAACGCGUUAAGCACCCCGCCUGGGGAGUACGGCCGCAAGGCUAAAACUCAAAUGAAUUGGCGGGG
rnacentral:rRNA from 1 species